UACGUAGGGCGCAAGCGUUGUCCGGAAUUAUUGGGCGUAAAGAGCUCGUAGGCGGCCUGUUACGUCUGCUGUGAAAUCCCGGGGCUUAACCCCGGGCGUGCAGUGGAUACGGGCAGGCUGGAGGCAGGCAGGGGAGAACGGAAUUCCCGGUGUAGCGGUGAAAUGCGCAGAUAUCGGGAGGAACACCGGUGGCGAAGGCGGUUCUCUGGGACGGUACUGACGCUGAGACGCGAAAGCGUGGGGAGCGAACAGG
rnacentral:rRNA from 1 species